rnacentral:rRNA from 1 species
GGAGUCUGGGCCGUAUCUCAGUCCCAAUGUGGCCGAUCACCCUCUCAGUCCGGCUACUGAUCGUCGCCAUGGUGAGCCGUUACCUCACCAUCUAGCUAAUCAGACGCGAGCCCAUCUUUGAGUGAUAAAUCUUUGGUAGUCCUAUCAUGCGGUAAAACUACGUUAUGAGGUAUUACCAUCCGUUUCCAGAAGCUAUCCCUCUCUCAAAGGUAGGUUGCUCACGUGUUACUCACCCGUCCGCCACUAAGAUAAUCUAAGUAAACUCAAAUUAUCUCCGUUCGACUUGCAUGUGUUAAGCGUGCCGCCAGCGUUCGUCCUCGAGCCAGGAUCAAACUCU